rnacentral:rRNA from 1 species
GAGUUUGAUUCUGGCUCAGGACGAACGCUGGCGGCGUGCAUAACACAUGCAAGUUGAACGAGAAUUUGGCUGCGGAUCUUUUCGGAGGGAAGCGGACGAAGGAAAGUAGCGAACGGGUGAGUAACGCGUAAGGAACCUGCCUCUCACAGGGGGAUAGCAGCUGGAAACGGCUAUUAAUACCCCAUGGUACCGGAGCAUCGCAUGAUGAACCGGUGAAAGAGAUAUCGGUGAGAGAUGGCCUUGCGUCUGAUUAGCUGGUUGGUGAGGUAACGGCUCACCAAGGCGACGAUCAGUAGCCGGCCUGAGAGGGUGAACGGCCACAUUGGGACUGAGACACGGCCCAAACUCCUACGGGAGGCAGCAGUGGGGAAUUUUGCACAAUGGGGGCAACCCUGAUGCAGCGACGCCGCGUGAACGAAGACGGUCUUCGGAUUGUAAAGUUCUGUCCUGGGUGAAGAAAAAGACGUAUCCNGAGNGCC